ACCAACCACACCACGCCGUCGCGAAAGAA
rnacentral:sRNA from 1 species